GGUGGGUUGGCCCAGCGGCGACGGCAACGGUCUGUAAAACCGCGACAUCGGAAACACCGCAGGUUCGAGUCCUGCACCCACCA
rnacentral:tRNA from 1 species